rnacentral:misc_RNA from 1 species
GUACUCUCACACUUCCAAUCUUUGGAUUAGGAGUGGUGGACUUGGGUGUUGCUGCUGCUUCACUGCGGCUCACCUCAAAUGGAUUAGUGCAACUCUUGGUUGGACAUAGUACGGCGUGAUAAGUGUCUUCGCUGGUGCCUCGUAACAGAGGGUGGCCGAUCGGGAGCUCUGUGCUUCAAACCGUCUUCAGACAAUUACUGACA